rnacentral:snoRNA from 1 species
AAGAUCAUACUUUUAGGGAUCAUUUCUAUAGUAUGUAUCGCCAGGACGUCAACCAAAAUUGACCCUGGACCCAAACCCGCGAGGACGAGCUAGCCUGCCUUUCUGAGCGCGAAGCGGGUUGCAGCUGGCAGCGAAGUCUGCCUCGGCUGCGACCAUUGAUGACCGCUUUUCACCCUCUCGGGUGGAAAGGGAAGGCAGGCAAUCUGAGCGGU